AAAUUAUGAUGAACAAUUUUUAUACCUGAAAAUAGCUGAAGUUAACUUAAUACGAGCUUUUUAACACUGACAUACC